AUCCGCGGCCGCUGCAGAGUUUGAUCCUGGUCAGGACGAACGCUGGCGGCGUGCCUAACACAUGCAAGUCGAGCGGGGAAUGCAGCAAUGUAUUCCUAGCGGCGGACGGGUGAGUAACGCGUGGGCAACCUGCCCUGCACAGGGGGAUAACACAGGGAAACUUUUGCUAGUACCGCAUAACAUACUUAUAUGGCAUCAUAUAGGUAUCAAAGGAGCAAUCCGGUGCAGGAUGGGCCCGCGUCCGAUUAGCUAGUUGGUAGGGUAACGGCCUACCAAGGCGACGAUCGGUAGCCGAACUUAGAGGUUGGUCGGCCACAUUUGGACUUAGACGCGGCCCAGACUUCUACGGGAGGCAGCAGUGGGGAAUAUUUCGCAAUGGGGGGAACCCUGUACGCAGCAACGCCGCGUGGAGGAAGAAGGUCUUCGGAUUUUAAACUUCUUUUAUGAGGGACGAAGGAAGUGACGGUACCUUAGGAACAAGCCACGGCUAACUACGUGCCAGCAGCCGCGGUAAUACGGAGGUGGCGAGCGUU
rnacentral:rRNA from 1 species